ensembl:lincRNA
UUCACCUGCUCCUCCUCCAUGCAUAUACACACACACACAUAUAUAUACAGUAUGUUCAUAACUGUACAUCGCAUUCGUUCAUCACCGAGCGCCCUUUUCUUAGGGAAACGCACCACCCGCAGCUGAGAGGGACUCCUGUUGGAUCCUGUUGACAAAAACACGGCUUCUUUCUCGAACCGCUCUUGGGACCGGGACCGGGGCCGAACUCUACUGAGGGUGCCCUGCGUGAUAAGGAGCCUCACCAAUCGUUGUGAUGGAAAGAAACUUUGUUUCAUUGUGUUGUUUGUUAAAAAAAGUGUGUGUGUGUGUUAUUUUCCCAGUGUUGUUUCACGUCAACCGCCGCUUUCCCCCACCACCACGGGUUGCAAGAGGUCAGAGCACCCCUACGCAGCAGCCCCGCACCCGGGCAGGUGAGGGGGUCCGGACUGAGAACAGAGCCGGUUCCUGCGAACCGACAGAGCCCGGAGAGAUCCCCCGAGCUGGGAGCCGACAGGCCGCGACAAGCCGAGAUGAGAUCGCGCAAAACCGGACCGUCUCGCACCCCUGCCUCCAAGCCAGAUGGGGCAGUGCGGAGCAGCUCCUGGGGCUCUGUACUCCUGGGUAGAAGGUGGUUGUUUCACCGCUGCUGUAGGGCUCCCGGAGGCCAACAGCUCUACACGUUCAGGUAGGGACCUGCAUCAGCAGGCGUGGGCUGCAAAGGACCAGGUGAAGGUUUAUCCAUGACGAAAGGAACAGAAAAUGUUUCAGCUGCGGAGCGUUCCUCAGGCGGGUGUCAGGUGUCUUUGACACACGAGGAAGGCUCCACAGCUGAAACGAUUUCUUAUCCUUUUCAGCCUGGAAUAAACCGUCACCUGUGCCAAUAGAUGUAUGUUUUUAGAAAAUAGGUAAUUGUAUUACCUGCCUCUGAGUUGUCUUGGAUAAAAGCACCAGACAGAUGCAUAAUAGAGAGGGGGCUGGAAGUCUUCAUUCCGUGAUGUAUAAAUCCCAGGCCCAUUCCAUUCCUCUGCUAGCAACCCCAGGCAAUCAAUGGGACCUUUUGCCCUUAACAUUUCAUGCAGACCGAUUUUGAGAGAAUUUCUCCCAUGAGGACAGAACGCCCUGUUCUUAAGAAUAGCCUUCGAUCUUCGAUCGCUGUGCCUCCAUUCGCCAAGGUGAGAAAUACACCCCGCUCACCUCCACAGGAGCCUGAAGGCGAGGAACCCUUCAGGCCUGCAAGCAGGGCGGUGCUGUGAGGAUCUGAUCCUCACAAGGGGCAGAACUCCGGCCUCUGUCCGUGCAGGAAUUCCCUCACAAUUCCAAGGACGUAACUUGUUUGUCUUGCAGAAGAAUCUAAUUAAACAACGUAUUCAGUGUAUCUUCAUUACAAGCAGUUUUCACAUUACAUUUGCGGAAAAUGAGACUACAGUGUUAUAGGGAAAUGCUACAAAAACAAUGCUGAGUACCCAGAAGAUUAAAUAAAUACCUUAGGGAUUAAAAUUAAUUAAUAUACUUUCUGGACUACGUUUUCAUGAGCUUCUCACUAUAAUUUCUGCAUUUUAGAUUUUCAGUGUGGAAACACUUUCAUCCAAUAAUUAUGUUUAAUAGUUAAUUAAAAACAAUGACUGCUGUUUUAGCUGUAGUGUAUUAUUAAAUGUUGCUGUGUUUACGUUCUUUUGGGAUGGAGUAAUGCUUUUCAUCUGGGUACGAAGAUAUUGAGCAUUGCAUCACCGAGAACACAAAUUGAGUUUAACCCCUUAUUUAACCUGAAUUUAAACACUGACAAAAGACACGCGUGCUUUUCUUGUGCUGUCAUUUUCGACCCUUCACUCUCGUCCUCGACUCAACUCCGCCUCCCGUUCUGGUGCGUCGCCUGCCUUCCGUCGCCUAGCGCUACACGACACCUGGGAUCACAGUUCAGGGAACAUGUCGCUUUCACCAAAGGACAGGAGGGGCUGCCUGCUCUUCAGACGAGUGAGGGAUGGCAUGUGAGGAGGGGGGCUGAAGUGCGUUGUGGCAUUUGACCACUUCUGGAUAAUUAUUGGCUCUCAAAAUAUUUUUGAUUGAUGGAUACCUUUGGAAUGCGGACUUUUUGCUUCGUCAAUUAUCUCUUAUCUCCCUGUGAGCUAUGUUGACACUGCACGAAGGCUAUGGGUUAUUUUUAGGGUAAGAGAUGCAAGGAAUAGUUUUUUUGUUUUCAAAUCACAGAUUGUUUCAUCUGUUAGUAACUUAAAAAUAAACGCCACAACGUGAUCGGUUUCCCUU